GUCUCCUCAUACUGUAUGUCCCCUUACUUCUCUACAGCUGAAAAGCAGAACAAAUUAGAGACUCUAGCUAAGGACUCUUCUGGAAGCAGCCGAUUUGACGACACCACAGGAGAGGGAAGCCAUGAGAUACACUGCCAACCAAAAGUGAUUUCAGAGUCUUCUUGAGUCAAGCGCCAUUUCUUUCUAUUUGUUCUUUGUGUUUCUGCCAGCAAGAAUACCACGCACACUUUCAGGAUAUUGUUUUCAAACAUAUGAGGCCCCUGGUAAUGAAGGAAAGACUGAUUGGAACACUCAGGAUAACCCAUAGAAGAUUUUUGUUUGGGUUGUUUUGAAUGACUUUUUAUUGCGAGCCUGUUACAUGUUUAUUGUACCAAAUUUGAACUACAAAAUGUAUAAAGAAGAGUUACCUGUAAUUCUGCUCCCCAGUGCAAAGAACUGUUAACUUUUUGCUAUACGCCCUUAGCUUUUUUAAAAAAUUAUUUGUAUAUAUAAAAUUAUUUCUUCACAAAUGGGAUUACAUAGUAUGCAUCGUUUUGAAACUUGCUUUUCUCCUGUUCUGUUGUGUGCCUUUCUCCCCAGUCAUGACAGCAUUCUUCCCUGACAUCACAUUUCAUGGCUGCCCAUUUUUCUAACCUAUUGGUAUGUGAGUGUUUAGCCAGUGUACCAUUAUUGGGCAUUUAUGUUGUUUCCAGUUCCUCGUUAUAAACAACACUGAAAUGAAUGUCACUGCAGAAAAAUCUUGAUGCUGCCAUAAAAUUACUGACUUGGGUAAAAAUUUUCUGGAAGUGGGUCAAAGGGAAAUGUAUGCUUUGCUUUUGCCACAGGCUGUACUGCCCCCUCCAAGCUCACCUUCCACAAGUUGUGUUUGUGUAUAAUCAAUAUCUUUCUCUCUCUCUCUCUGUUUCUAUAUAGCACAUUGCCUUGUUCCGGUGAGUCUAAGUCCUUAUGACCCCCACCCAGAUACACCAAGGAAUUAAUUAACCUUUUGCAGGUUUCCCACGACACUUCCUAUUUUUAUGUCAUCACUGAUCCCACCUAAGGUGUCAUCAUUUAGAAGAAAAAGAAUGUCACUUCCUUGGAGCCUCUUCUCUCAUAUCUAGAGUCUGGAAGUAUGGUUUGAGUCAUCCUAUUUUUCCUCUUAGUGUGAAAGAAACCUAACUUUGCAUUGACACCUUUUUGGGAGAAAGACUUUAAAAAGUAGCUGACUUUUUUAUUGUUACACAAACUUCUCUGUCAACACCACCUUCUUUCCCCUCUCCCUCUCACCUCUUCACACCCCCACCUCAACACCCCUUUUAUACCCACGACCUGUUUAGUUGCUUCUUAGUAUCUCUAUAUUUUGUGUUUCAAUCCUACCUCCUCCAUCUUCUCUAUAAAUCCUUCAUCAUUUUUGCCUUCCUUCCAAAUUCUUCCCAACUUUUCAAGGUCUAGAGAGCCUCAUGACUUCCAGAAUUACAGACAGGUUUAAAUUACCAUCUCUUGUCCCACCUUUGGUCCAUACAUCCCAUGCCUGAGAGUUCGUAUGUAUUUGGAGGAUGUGGUAAGGACAUACCAUCUUCACUGCCGUCAGACUACACAGUUGUACAUUCAUUCAACAAAUCUUUAUAGACAUCUGUCCCCUAUGUGCUCGGCACUGCUGUGCCAGGUACCAGAGAUACGACUGAAAUGAAAAGCACAUGGUCACUGCCUGCAGGAAGCUUACCGCACAGUGAUUCAAAGUUUGGCAUUUUAUAUGAAGUCACUUCAUUUGCAGACUUAAAACAAAAGAAUAUAGUUGUGCUUUAAAGUAUAAGUACUAUAUUCUCUUCCCUUCAUUCCCAUUCAUCCCCACUUGGAUCUGUACAUUGAAUUCCUAUUUAUUCUUCUUCCAGUUAGCACCUGUGGAUUUUUCGCAGACAAAUGGAGGCUUAGUGGAUUUGAGUGUAUUCCUCAAAGGCCACUGGGGAAUAUGACAGAGGAAAUACACUAGUCAUGAUUCCCCAGCCUGGGGCCUCUGACCCUUGUUGAAGCUCUUUAUGUUUAUAGGAUUCAAAGAGCAAGCUUUGAUUGCCAGCUCAUGAACCCUAGGUCAUAUUGGAGGGAACUGGCUUUUUGAAUAAAGUUUCAAAAAGAAGGGAUCCAGGCAUGGCAUGGUGGCUAAGCAGUUAAGCCUAGAUUAAUUAGAAAGCUUGGUGGUAGGGGAAACUUUAUUCUAGGUAAUUGGAUUUUCAGAUUAAGAUUAACAAAUAAAACCUGUUGAAUUGAAAACUUUGCUUAAAAAUUCCCUAAAAUGCAUUAGGUUUCUGCCUUAAGUAAACAGAAGAAAACAUACAAUAUUUUGGGAUAUAAUUUUUGUAUAAUGAUACCAAGUGGUGAUUUUAGAUGGGACUGUUUUUCUACCACCAGUGUAGAAAGCAUAGAGAUGAAGCUGAAGAUGAGCUUGUCCAAAGAGAUCUCUGGAAGGUUCUUCAUUAUAAAGGAUUCCUUGCUAUAGGAACUCUGAUUUGCUUUGUUCUAAAAUUGGGAAAUUCUAGCCCAGUGAUCAUCUAUGACUAAGUGACUUCCAGUGAAUUGGUCCAGAAUUUUUUUUUUUCAGACAGGGUUCCACUCUUUUGCCCAGGCUGGAGGGCAGUGGUACGAUGUUCGUGGCUCACCACAGCUUCGACCUCUGGGGCUCAAGUGAUCUCCCACCUCAGCCUCC